AAAGGGAGACCUAAUUCAGGUAGGAGACGAAAAAAAAGUAGUCGCUACCAAGAAUCAAUCCCAAAAGGUCGGAGCGAGGCGAAAUUGGCUUUCAAACUAGGUUCUGGGUUCACACAAGACCUGAAUCAGGAACAAGGGCUAUUAGCUCAGGUGGUUAGAGCGCACCCCUGAUAAGGGUGAGGUCCCUGGUUCGAGUCCAGGAUGGCCCACCUGCACAGGUGGCAAAAACAAGAGAAGCUCCGAAUCGGCACCUUAUCUUACUGACAUAGUAAGAGAGAAUGCUGGCUCUGAGUAAAGAGUCCAGAGGAACCUUGAAAACUGCAUAGAGCUAGGUGAAAAAGCCAAAAAAGAAGACCGCAAG
rnacentral:tRNA from 1 species